UACGUAGGUGGCAAGCGUUAUCCGGAUUUAUUGGGCGUAAAGGGAACGCAGGCGGUCUUUUAAGUCUGAUGUGAAAGCCUUCGGCUUAACCGGAGUAGUGCAUUGGAAACUGGGAGACUUGAGUGCAGAAGAGGAGAGUGGAACUCCAUGUGUAGCGGUGAAAUGCGUAGAUAUAUGGAAGAACCCCAGUGGCGAAAGCGGCUCUCUGGUCUGUAACUGACGCUGAGGUUCGAAAGCGUGGUUAGCAAACAGG
rnacentral:rRNA from 1 species